UUCAAGUUUUCGACGUUAUUAAUUAUUAUUAGUUUCAAACUUGAUCGAGUGAAGUUUUUAUUAAUUACUUCCGUAACUUAUCCUCUCAAUUUUCUAAGCUUUAAUAGCCCUGCAUAAUGUUCAAUAAGUGCUGUGUUGUGACCUGCUAGUAGACGAAAAGACUGUUUUCAUAUGUUUCCAAAAAUUCCUGCCAUCAGUGAUCAUGGUUAUUGUAGAAAGAGGUGUCAUUUUGAUCACACAUAUUGAAAACUAGAGGUCUUGCAGAACCACACAAAAUAUCAUGGUGACAUUGAUGACGCUGUGCAUCACACUCCAUCAAGGAAGAGAAGACCAUGUGUCAUUUUAAAGAAAAUGAAACUUUCACCUCAUUGUGCAAGUCUUUAUUGUGAAUUUACCCAAUCACGAAAGCAUUUUCACAGAAAAUCAUUUAUAAAUCUUACAGAGAAAAUGAACCCUAUUGCAAAGAAAUUUUUGUGGAUGCAGAUUCAAUAGGCUUACAAUAAGUUUAAAACGAAAAUGAAAAAUAAAAUAAGAUAACAUGA